AGAAUCAACGCUGGCGGCGUGCCUCAGACAUGCAAGUCGAACGCGAAAGUCCCCUUCGGGGGACAAGUAGAGUGGCGCACGGGUGAGUAACACGUAGGUAAUCUACCUUCGGAUGGGGAAUAACAACCGGAAACGGUUGCUAAUACCGCAUAAUGCAGCGGCACCUAAUGGUGACAGUUGUUAAAGCGGGGGAUCGAAAGACCUCGCGUCUGAAGAGGAGCCUGCGGCGGAUUAGCUAGUUGGUAAGGUAAUGGCUUACCAAGGCUACGAUCCGUAACCGGCCUGAGAGGGCGGUCGGUCACACUGACACUGACAUACGGGUCAGACUCCUACGGGAGGCAGCAGUCGGGAAUUUUGGGCAAUGGGCGAAAGCCUGACCCAGCAACGCCGCGUGAAGGAUGAAAUCCCUCGGGAUGUAAACUUCGCAAGAACGGAAGAAUAAGCGAAGAGUAAAUAAUCUUUCGCGAUGACGGUACCGUUUGUAAAGCUCCGGCUAACUCCGUGCCAGCAGCCGCGGUAA
rnacentral:rRNA from 1 species